rnacentral:rRNA from 1 species
UACGUAGGGGGCAAGCGUUGUCCGGAAUCAUUGGGCGUAAAGAGCGUGUAGGCGGCUCGGUAAGUCCGCUGUAAAAGUCCAGGGCUCAACCCUGGAAAGCCGGUGGAAACUGUCGAGCUAGAGUCCGGAAGAGGCGAGUGGAAUUCCUGGUGUAGCGGUGAAAUGCGCAGAUAUCAGGAGGAACACCAAUGGCGAAGGCAGCUCGCUGGACGGUACUGACGCUGGAGACGCGAAAGCGUGGGAGCAACAGG